CUACCUGGUACACCCUAACUCGGUAUAUGACGUAGUCUAAGCAGAAACUAGAUAGAUAACAUUUCACUUGACUCAGCUGAUAAAUUAGUCCAGGUGGCAAAUUGGUUAGUGCGUGUAGCUUUUUUAUCCAGCUUGAAUUGCGCUCAGCGGCCUGCGGUUUAUAUUCUCUUAUGCGUCAUUCAAGCCGAAACAUCCACAAUCUUGGCCAAAAGUUCGAAGAACGACUGAAUGUUACGUUUGCACUAGUUUUCCCUACAUUUUUUU